rnacentral:miRNA from 1 species
AUCCCACCGCUGCCACC